rnacentral:rRNA from 1 species
GACGAACGCUGGCGGCGUGCUUAACACAUGCAAGUCGAACGGAAAGGCCCUGCUUUUGUGGGGUGCUCGAGUGGCGAACGGGUGAGUAACACGUGAGUAACCUGUCCUUGACUCUGGGAUAACUUCAGGAAACUGGGGCUAAUACCGGAUAGGAGCUCCUGCUGCAUGGUGGGGGUUGGAAAGUUUCGGCGGUUGGGGAUGGACUCGCGGCUUAUCAGCUUGUUGGUGGGGUAGUGGCUUACCAAGGCUUUGACGGGUAGCCGGCCUGAGAGGGUGACCGGCCACAUUGGGACUGAGAUACGGCCCAGACUCUUACGGGAGGCAGCAGUGGGGAAUAUUGCACAAUGGGCGGAAGCCUGAUGCAGCAACGCCGCGUGCGGGAUGACGGCCUUCGGGUUGUAAACCGCUUUCGCCUGUGACGAAGCGUGAGUGACGGUAAUGGGUAAAGAAGCACCGGCUAACUACGUG